rnacentral:rRNA from 1 species
AUUACCGCUCGAACUCGGGGUUUCGGCCCCCGACUGGCGCACGGGUGAAUAGCGCGUGCGAACCUGCCAUGUUGUGGGGGAUACCCGAGGGCGACUUCGGGUAAUACCGCAUGCGCCCGGAGGAGAGAUCCUCUGGGGAAAGAUUUAUCGCAGCAGGAGGGGCCCGCGUCGGAUUAGCUGGUUGGCGGGGUAACGGCCCACCAAGGAGAUGAUCCGUAGCUGGUGUGAGAGGAUGAUCAGCCACACUGGGACUGAGACACGGCCCAGACUCCUACGGGAGGCAGCAGUGGGGAAUAUUGGACAAUGGGCGCAAGCCUGAUCCAGCAAUGCCGCGUGAGUGAUGAAGGCCUUAGGGUUGUAAAGCUCUUUCGGCGGGGACGAUGAUGACGGUACCCGCAGAAGAAGCCCCGGCUAACUUCGUGCCAG